UACGAAGGGGACUAGCGUUGUUCGGAAUUACUGGGCGUAAAGCGCACGUAGGCGGCUUCUUAAGUCGGUGGUGAAAUCCCGGAGCUCAACUCCAGAACUGCCUUUGAUACUGAAGAUCUUGAGUUCGGGAGAGGUGAGUGGAACUGCGAGUGUAGAGGUGAAAUUCGUAGAUAUUCGCAAGAACACCAGUGGCGAAGGCGGCUCACUGGCCCGAUACUGACGCUGAGGCACGAAAGCGUGGGGAGCAAACAGG
rnacentral:rRNA from 1 species